AAAGUUUAUGAAAACAUGACAAAUUUACUCUCCUUCCUAGCUUGAAAAAAGAUAUAUAAUGUAUGAUUCAAGUGUUGCUACGGAGAAUUAAACAGAAAUGAACAGCUCAGGACUCCGAGUCACUACAAUUUGGUUUUUCUUUCAUUAUUUUUCAGAUCAACUGAACGUCAAACAAUGACACAUUUAAGUGUUGCAGAGAUUCGGUCCAUUAUCAUUAUGUUGGGAAGUCUGGCAGUGUGCAGACAGCCAUGGUACCGGAGGAGCCUAGAGUUCUACAUCUCGACCUGCAGGCAGCCAGGAGGAGGCUCUGUCUGGAUCACACUGGCCAGUCUUGAGCAUAUAGUGAUCUACAAAUGAUGCAAAGAGAAGUUUCUUUGAUGAAGAAAACCUACCUGUGGGGGCUGGUGACAUCAUGGAUCUUGAAGGAGAACCUACAAGCCACAAUUUGACUGAACCAGUAAAAUUUAAAUGUUUCCAUUUU